GAGGUGGGAGGAUCGCUUGAGCCCAGGAGGUCAAGGCUACAGUGAGCUGUGAUUGUGCCACUGCACUCCAGCCUGAGUGACAGAGCAAGACCCUGUCUCA
ensembl:miRNA